rnacentral:tRNA from 1 species
ACUCUCUUAGUAUAAGUAGUGCAACCGACUUCCAAUCAGUAGGCCUCAGUUACACCUGAGAGAGAGUA